rnacentral:rRNA from 1 species
AUCAAAAACAUAGCAUAAAGAUUUUAUUUUAGGUUAAUUCUGCCCAGCGUAAUAUUAGCGGCCGCAGUACCUUGACUGUGCUAAGGUAGCAUAAUCAGUUGGCUUUUAAUUGAAGUCUGGAAUGAACGGACUGAUGGGGAAUAGCUGUCUCAGGGAAAUUUUUUUGAAUUUAUUUAGUAAGUGAAAAUACUUAUAUUAAGAAAAAAGACGAGAAGACCCUUAGAAUUUUUAAUAAAAUACAUUUAUAUUAUUUUUUUGUUGGGGCGACAUUGAAACACUUAAACUUUCUCUACUUCACGACAUUAAGGUUUGAAAGAGUAAAUUACCUUAGGGAUAACAGCAUAAUUAAUUAUUUAGUUUGUGACCUCGAUGUUGGACUAGGAACUAGUUGACUAACCGUCAAAAUAGAUUGUUCUGUUUCGAACAGGAAUUCC